rnacentral:lncRNA from 1 species
ACUGGCUUUACUUUUUUAUUGUUAUCGUUAUGGUCCUUUCAGAUGGUAUUGUCCUUUGCAACAGUUUAUUGCCCUGAUUUGAAAAAGAGUCCAAAUGGAGCAACUGGAAUGGACCUUCAUGCUGAACUUCAGCCCUUCUUCCCAUCCAAACCCAAGUCUUCUGCUCCUCCAAAGGCACAGCUUGCCUCUGUAGCUUCUCUUGACACUGCCGAGGCCGCAGGGAGCUCGGGGCUGUCCACACAGCAGCUCAGUGAACACCAGUCACAGUCCUGCCCUCUUCUUUAGUGCUCACCUGGAGGAGGCAAGGAGCUCUAGGCGAUCUGCUGGACUCAUUCUUUCAUCCCAGCCACAGCAGCUCAGUGGACACCAGUCCCAGUCCUGCUUUCUUCCUCAGGGCUCACCUGGAGGCUGCAGGGAACUUGAGGCUUUCUGCUGGAUGACUCCUCUUGUCUCAGCACAGCCCCAUGGACACCAGUCCAAGUCCUUCCCUUUUCCUCAGAGCUUGGGAAAGAAGAGGGAAGAGGUCCUGGGGAAAGAUGAGGAAUGGGGAAGGAAGGGGUAGGGAGCAGCAGCCGUCGCAGGGGCUCUCUGGCGGAUGGUGACACUUCAACGCCGAGGUGGAAAUCGAGAGCCCCUGGUGAGCCGCCAACGGAUGUGACGACGUCUCCGGGCAAGCAGGAUGUUAUAGGAUUUGCCCGAGCCCGAUGCAGAUGGAUCCACCUCCAUUGGCUCUUCCUGCAGAGGUAGAUCCACCUCCAUGGGCUCGACGUCGUCUGCAGGUGGAUCAAUUUCCAUUGGUUCAGGCCUGCUGCCGCUCCCCUGAAGCUUAAGCUUCUUUGUUGGAGGAGGAUCCAUCCUCCUCCAGAAAGGUGGGAGGGAGGGAGAGAGGGAGAGCUCUAUAUAAGUCGCUUCUUGGGUCAGCAGCCACAAGACGCAGGUCAGGCAAGGACUGGCGUUCCGUUGCCAGGGACCCCGUACACACAGCGGUCGGCAGGGAGGUGCCUCGUGACAUCAUCACGGCGUGGCACUGUGUCCCUAAGGAUGGCCCAUGAUGACCAAAACGUGGCUGUGUCGGGCAAGGGGAGGCUGUGGCUUGAGGGAUGGCCUGGUUGCCAUUCAGUGGGGUUUUGC